rnacentral:tRNA from 2 species
GGGGAAUUAGCUCAAGCGGUAGAGCGCUUGCUUAGCAUGCAAGGGGUAGCAGGAUCGACGCCUGCAUUCUCCA